ACUUAAGCAUAUCAAUAAGCGGAGGAAAAGAAACCAACAGGGAUUGCCCCAGUAACGGCGAGUGAAGCGGCAACAGCUCAGAUUUGAAAUCCGGCCUCGGCCCGAGUUGUAAUCUGUAGGGGAUGUCCCUGGCGCGGCGCCUACCGAGUUCCCUGGAACGGGACGCCAUAGAGGGUGAGAGCCCCGUAUGGUUGGACGCCAAGCCUCUGUGGGACUCCUCCGACGAGUCGAGUAGUUUGGGAAUGCUGCUCAAAUUGGGAGGUAAAUCUCUUCUAAAGCUAAAUACCGGCCAGAGACCGAUAGCGCACAAGUAGAGUGAUCGAAAGAUGAAAAGCACCUUGGAAAGGGGGUUAAAAAGCACGUGAAAUUGUUGAAAGGGAAGCGCCUGUGACCAGACUCGCGCCGGGCGGAUCAUCCAGCGUUCUCGCUGGUGCACUCCGCCCGGCUCGGGCCAGCAUCGGUUUCCGCGGGGGGACAAGAGCGGCGGGAACGUGGCCCUUCGGGGUGUUAUAGCCCGCCGCACGAUGCCCCCUUGGGGACCGAGGAUCGCGCUCUGCAAGGAUGCUGGCGUAAUGGUCACCGGCGACCCGUCUUGAAACACGGACCAAGGAGUCGUCCAUUACGGCGAGCGUUUGGGUGUCAAACCCCUACGCGUAAUGAAAGUGAACGCAGGUGAGAGCUUCGGCGCAUCAUCGACCGAUCCUGAUGUACUCGGAUGGAUUUGAGUAAGAGUCGUAACGGACGGACCCGAAAGAUGGUGAACUAUGCCUGUAUAGGGUGAAGCCAGAGGAAACUCUGGUGGAGGCUCGCAGCGGUUCUGACGUGCAAAUCGAUCGUCAAAUAUGGGCAUGGGGGCGAAAGACUAAUCGAACCAUCUAGUAGCUGGUUACCGCCGAAGUUCCCCUCAGAGUA
rnacentral:rRNA from 1 species